rnacentral:rRNA from 1 species
AGGAGGUACGUCGAAACUGACNGGCUAGAGGGACGUAGAGGUAAGCGGAACCCUCGGAGUAGCGGUGAAAUGCGUAGAGACCGAGAGGUACCCCGAUGGUGAAGACGGCUUACUGGGCGUCUCCUGACGCUGAAGCGCUAAGGCCAGGGGAGCAAAGGGGAUUAGAUACCCCCAUAGUCCUGGCUUCAAACGAUGUGGGCUUGGUGUCGGCCCCCUAUAGAGGGUCGUUGCCGGAGUUAACGCGUUAAGCCCACCGCCUGGGGAUUACGUCCGCAAGGAUGAAACUCAAGGGAAUUGACGGGGGCCCACACAACCGGUGGAGCACGUGGUUUAAUUCGAUGAUAAGCGAAGAACCUUACCAGGGCUUGACCUAGCGGUAGUAGGACCCCGAAAGGGGAACGACCUCAAGCUUUGCUUGAGGAGCCGUGGCAGGUAUUGCAUGGCUGUCGUCAGCUCGUGUCGUGGGACGUUGGGUUAAGUCCCGUAACGAGCGCAACCCCUGCCCUUAAUUGCCAACGGGUAAUGCCGGGUACUAUAAGGGGACUGCCGGAGAAUAUCCGGAGGAAGGAGGGGAUGACGUCAAGUCGUUAUGAUCCUUAUGCUCUGGGCGACACACGUGCUACAAUGGGCACUACAAUGAGGAGCGAUUCCGCAAGGAGGUGCAAAUCUCAAAAAGGUGCCCCCAGUGCGGAUUGGGGUCUGCAACCCGACCCCAUGAAGAUGG